GCGGAAGUGGUGAAACUGGCAGACACGCCAUCUUGAGGGGGUGGUGCUCACAAGGCUUGCGGGUUCAAGUCCCGCCUUCCGCA
rnacentral:tRNA from 1 species